rnacentral:lncRNA from 1 species
AAAAGGAUGCAAAUGUCGUAGAAUAGUGGACACGUGCACAAGGUGGGUUAGACACCAUUACUAUCAGAAAAGAAGAAGGAUUCCAUCAUUUUUUGAAUGCUAUAACUUCAUAUAGAAUCGUUCUGAAGGAUGUGUGUUUUGCUAGUGGAAAUUAUCUUCUAUUAUGGUGAAUAUAUGGUGCCUAUAACUUCAUAUAGAAUAUUUCUGAAGGAUGUGUGUUUUGUUAGGGGAA